rnacentral:miRNA from 1 species
UUUAGAAUUUGUACGAUCUGCU